AGGAGAGUGUGAGUUCCAGCCCUGGGAUUUGUUGUUUGCUCCCUUUUCACUGACAGAAGUUGGAGAAAAAUUAUUAAUGCACUUGAAGAAGAUCAAGAAAAAAGAAAGCGUGAGUAAUGUUUUGGCUCCAUUAUAGUUUUAUGAGAGCACCAUCACAUAUGCGGUUCGUUGCUGACCAAAACAUUGCCUCAUGCUGGAGAAGAGUAUCCGAGCAUAGUUGCUGCUUCGAGUCACUCCAGGGAGAUCUAAAAUUCCAGGUGAACCAUUUGCUGCUAUAGUCAAGAUGAAAAGGAGUGAAGAACAGCUAAAUAAAAUCAAGUAUAAUGGAGGGAAUCACCACCAAAAGAGGGAAAAAAGAAAGCCCUGAGACUCCUUUGUAGACCAGGUUCCUUUCUCACCUCCUGGCUGCUGUGCUGACCCCCAAGGUCCUGAGGAUGAGGAGGCUGAGCAAGGGACAAGGCCACUGGUUGUCAUCUGUCUGGGCAUUGGGUGUGACCUCACAAGGCAACUUGCAUUCUUAACUCUGUCUCAGCCCCUGAGAACCCUGAGCUUGUUGGAUAACCCAACCUGCAAAACACAGCUCACAGAUUUCUGAGAAGCCUGAAGAUUCAGGAUCAGGACCAUAGUAAGAUAUGAGUGUCUAGGUAGCAUGACAACAGCCAGAACCACUUCUCAACAAUUGUGUGAUGUGUACACAGCUGCUGCAGUCCUGGACACUCAUCACUGCCACCCAUGACUCUGGAAUUGGGUAUUGCUGUGGACAACAAUACUACUUUGUUCUGG
rnacentral:lncRNA from 1 species